AACGGGGCUAAACCAUGCACCGAAGCUGCGGCAGCGACACUAUGUGUUGUUGGGUAGGGGAGCGUUCUGUAAGCCUGUGAAGGUGUACUGUGAGGUAUGCUGGAGGUAUCAGAAGUGCGAAUGCUGACAUAAGUAACGAUAAAGCGGGUGAAAAGCCCGCUCGCCGGAAGACCAAGGGUUCCUGUCCAACGUUAAUCGGGGCAGGGUGAGUCGACCCCUAAGGCGAGGCCGAAAGGCGUAGUCGAUGGGAAACAGGUUAAUAUUCCUGUACUUGGUGUUACUGCGAAGGGGGGACGGAGAAGGCUAUGUUGGCCGGGCGACGGUUGUCCCGGUUUAAGCGUGUAGGCUGGUUUUCCAGGCAAAUCCGGAAAAUCAAGGCUGAGGCGUGAUGACGAGGCACUACGGUGCUGAAGCGACAAAUGCCCUGCUUCCAGGAAAAGCCUCUAAGCAUCAGGUAACAUCAAAUCGUACCCCAAACCGACACAGGUGGUCAGGUAGAGAAUACCAAGGCGCUUGAGAGAACUCGGGUGAAGGAACUAGGCAAAAUGGUGCCGUAACUUCGGGAGAAGGCACGCUGAUAUGUAGGUGAAGCGACUUGCUCGUGGAGCUGAAAUCAGUCGAAGAUACCAGCUGGCUGCAACUGUUUAUUAAAAACACAGCACUGUGCAAACACGAAAGUGGACGUAUACGGUGUGACGCCUGCCCGGUGCCGGAAGGUUAAUUGAUGGGGUUAGCGGUAACGCGAAGCUCUUGAUCGAAGCCCCGGUAAACGGCGGCCGUAACUAUAACGGUCCUAAGGUAGCGAAAUUCCUUGUCGGGUAAGUUCCGACCUGCACGAAUGGCGUAAUGAUGGCCAGGCUGUCUCCACCCGAGACUCAGUGAAAUUGAACUCGCUGUGAAGAUGCAGUGUACCCGCGGCAAGACGGAAAGACCCCGUGAACCUUUACUAUAGCUUGACACUGAACAUUGAGCCUUGAUGUGUAGGAUAGGUGGGAGGCUUUGAAGUGUGGACGCCAGUCUGCAUGGAGCCGACCUUGAAAUACCACCCUUUAAUGUUUGAUGUUCUAACGUGGGCCCCUUACCGGGGUUGCGGACAGUGUCUGGUGGGUAGUUUGACUGGGGCGGUCUCCUCCUAAAGAGUAACGGAGGAGCACGAAGGUUGGCUAAUCCUGGUCGGACAUCAGGAGGUUAGUGCAAUGGCAUAAGCCAGCUUGACUGCGAGCGUGACGGCGCGAGCAGGUGCGAAAGCAGGUCAUAGUGAUCCGGUGGUUCUGAAUGGAAGGGCCAUCGCUCAACGGAUAAAAGGUACUCCGGGGAUAACAGGCUGAUACCGCCCAAGAGUUCAUAUCGACGGCGGUGUUUGGCACCUCGAUGUCGGCUCAUCACAUCCUGGGGCUGAAGUAGGUCCCAAGGGUAUGGCUGUUCGCCAUUUAAAGUGGUACGCGAGCUGGGUUUAGAACGUCGUGAGACAGUUCGGUCCCUAUCUGCCGUGGGCGCUGGAGAACUGAGGGGGGCUGCUCCUAGUACGAGAGGACCGGAGUGGACGCAUCACUGGUGUUCGGGUUGUCAUGCCAAUGGCACUGCCCGGUAGCUAAAUGCGGAAGAGAUAAGUGCUGAAAGCAUCUAAGCACGAAACUUGCCCCGAGAUGAGUUCUCCCUGACUCCUUGAGAGUCCUGAAGGAACGUUGAAGACGACGACGUUGAUAGGCCGGGUGUGUAAGCGCAGCGAUGCGUUGAGCUAACCGGUACUAAUGAACCGUGAGGCUUAACCUU
rnacentral:rRNA from 1 species